GACGAACGCUGGCGGCGUGCCUAAUACAUGCAAGUUGAGCGCUGAAGGUUGGUACUUGUACCAACUGGAUGAGCAGCGAACGGGUGAGUAACGCGUGGGGAAUCUGCCUUUGAGCGGGGGACAACAUUUGGAAACGAAUGCUAAUACCGCAUAAAAACUUUAAACACAAGUUUUAAGUUUGAAAGAUGCAAUUGCAUCACUCAAAGAUGAUCCCGCGUUGUAUUAGCUAGUUGGUGAGGUAAAGGCUCACCAAGGCGAUGAUACAUAGCCGACCUGAGAGGGUGAUCGGCCACAUUGGGACUGAGACACGGCCCAAACUCCUACGGGAGGCAGCAGUAGGGAAUCUUCGGCAAGGGACGAAAGUCUGACCGAGCAACGCCGCGUGAGUGAAGAAGGUUUUCGGAUCGUAAAACCCUGUUGGUAGAGAAGAACGUUGGUGAGAGUGGAAAGCUCAUCAAGUGACGGUAACUACCCAGAAAGGGACGGCUAACUACGUG
rnacentral:rRNA from 1 species